rnacentral:lncRNA from 1 species
CUUCCUCCUUCCUCUACGAUUGCUCUACUUCUCCAACUCUGACGCCGACGUCUCUCCUCCCUCCUUCCCUAUUCAUCUCUUCCUCCUCAUCCUUUUCUUCUCCUCAUUGCCUCUUCCUCCAAGCCCUUCCCCCUUCUCCCUUCUCCCCUUCCUCCUCUUCCAUUUCUUCUCCUCCUCCUCCUACUCAAAAUCUGCCCAUGUCCCUCUCCACGGUGGUUCCCACCACCUCCACCCCUUUUUCACGAGCA